rnacentral:rRNA from 1 species
AGUGAACGCUGGCGGUAGGCCUAACACAUGCAGGUCGAACGGCAGCACAGUAAGAGCUUGCUCUUACGGGUGGCGAGUGGCGGACGGGUGCGGAAUACAUCGGAAUCUACUUUUUCGUGGGGGAUAACGUAGGGAAACUUACGCUAAUACCGCAUACGACCUACGGGUGAAAGCAGGGGAUCUUCGGACCUUGCGCGAUUGAAUGAGCCGAUGUCGGAUUAGCUAGUUGGCGGGUUAAAGGCCCACCAAGGCGACGAUCCGUAGCUGGUCUGAUAGGAUGAUCAGCCACACUGGAACUGAGACACGGUCCAGACUCCUACGGGAGGCAGCAGUGGGGAAUAUUGGACAAUGGGCGCAAGCCUGAUCCAGCCAUACCGCGUGGGUGAAGAAGGCCUUCGGGUUGUAAAGCCCUUUUGUUGGGAAAGAAAAGCAGCAGGUUAAUACCCCGCUGUUCUGACGGUACCCAAAGAAUAAGCACCGGCUAACUUCGUG